CGGCUGUUUUCUCCGGCAGCCGGCGAAGAGUGAAACAGGUGAGAAGCCUGUGCGGUACCGCCGCUGUAUGCAAUGAGCCCUGGUCGUUCGAUAUAAUGUCGGUCACUGAGCAAUUGGGAAGGCCGGCCAGGGUGCAGAUGCCCAAUCCGCGAAAGCGGCCGUCAAAGAAAGGGAUUUGAUGGCGGCCUGCUUUGGAGCAUCCUAUUUGCCAGCCAGAAGACCUGCAUAAAAU
rnacentral:ncRNA from 1 species